GGCGGAGGCUAGGGUUUUGCAGUGCACUGACCACCAUACUUACCAAGUCGCACUAUAAAAGUGCCUUCUAGUGCUGUAUCGUUGGAUCUGAAUUCUGAGCGACUAAGCCUUUGCUCACCCGUCGUAAGUGCUGGGGUAUUUGUUGAACACAAUCUUAAAAAGUGCAAAUUCCUUUCAAGAUGAGCCGACCAAUGGAGGAAGAGGUUAGCAAGAACGAGGAGGAGGAGUUUAACACUGGACCCCUUUCAGUACUUAUGAUGAGUGUCAAAAAUAACACACAGGUGCUCAUUAACUGCCGCAACAACAAGAAGUUUCUUGGACGUGUGAGGGCAUUUGACAGACACUGCAACAUGGUUCUAGAAAAUGUCAGGGAGAUGUGGACUGAGGUGCCAAAAACUGGAAAAGGCAAGAAGAAAGCUCAACCAAUCAACAAAGAUAGGUUCAUCAGUAAAAUGUUCCUCCGAGGAGAUUCUGUUAUCAUUGUCCUUAGGAAUCCGAAGUGAAAUGCAAUGGUUCUUAUUAUCCUUCUUACUCACUUGCCCAUUCUCUUGGAGAAAGUGUGGUUCAUGUGUUCUUAUUGGGUUCUGGGACUAAAUUGUUAUGUGCUUGAGAGUUUAUUGUAGUUCUAAUAUUGACCUUUUGUUUUGCUCCAACUAGUAGUUUUUAGAUGGUGUUCUGGUUCCAAGGCAAUUAUCAUUUUGUUUUUCUAGCCCAAUAUUUAUACGAGUUUAUGAGACAGCAGCAUAUUUUUGCGGUUCUUUCCCCCUUUUUUGCCUUGUUGCUUGCUCUUCAAUAUGAAUUACCAUGUUCAAGCAUUUACUGGCUCACAAUGUUGCUGGUACCUUUAUCUUCUACAAGAACUGUGAUUUUACAUCAGAUUGUGGAAAGGCUGGAAGAUGACGUUACAGAAUCAUGUUUGUUAGAGCAAGCUGAUAAAUAUUUAGUGGAGGUGGGCAGUGUAAAAUGGUCAAAGGAUGAUGUUUGGAUGUCGGUUCGGCGGACUAGUAAUGUCGUUAGCAUCUGUUGCUUGGAAACAAAUAAAGAGAAUGGGCCAAGUCAAACUGAGCAGCGAGCCGAAUCAAAAGAUGUAUGUCCUCUUCAAAAAAAUGGAACCCAUGUACCGGCCUUACACACGAGAUAACAUGCAAAUUAUAAAUCCU
rnacentral:misc_RNA from 1 species